rnacentral:rRNA from 1 species
AUUGAACGCUGGCGGCAUGCUUUACACAUGCAAGUCGAACGGUAACAGGCCGCAAGGUGCUGACGAGUGGCGAACGGGUGAGUAACGCAUCGGAACGUAUCCUGUAGUGGGGAAUAACUCAUCGAAAGGUGAGCUAAUACCGCAUAAGCUCUGAGGAGGAAAGCGGGGGACCGAAAGGCCUCGCGCUGCAGGAGCGGCCGAUGUCCGAUUAGCUAGUUGGUGAGGUAAAGGCUCACCAAGGCGACGAUCGGUAGCUGGUCUGAGAGGAUGAUCAGCCACACUGGGACUGAGACACGGCCCAGACUCCUACGGGAGGCAGCAGUGAGGAAUAUUGGACAAUGGGCGCAAGCCUGAUCCAGCCAUGCCGCGUGAGUGAAGAAGGCC